CUCUCUUGCUCCCCCUCUCUCUUUUGUGGCGUGUGGUGCGAAGCUAGCAGCCGAGCCUCUCUCGCCGCUAGCUUCGUGCCGUUCGUACGCGUACUCCUUCGCGUGACGUCAUCGUCGACGAUGUGAACGGAAUUCUCUUUGUACGUACAUUUGAGUUUUCGGGAGUAAUCUGCAGUGAUAUAAACGUUCGGACGAGAGAGCGAGAUCGCUUGGUGACGCGCGCGUUAUUGUUGUUGUUGCCGGACGGCGUCAAAGUUAACUCACCCCGCGCGAAUCACCGCGAGCACGGUCCGGCGAAGGCAACGCGCACCAGUUCGCGUAUUAUCAUCGAUGUCGAACGACUUGUUUUUUCUUUGUACGCGCAGUUACUUCCGAGUUGUCGUAUGCAACGGAAAAGUGUUCCGACGGAAUAUCUAUCUUGAUCAUAUCCUCGCGUCGUGUGUCCCUCUCGCUACGUGAUGAUGUCGCCUCACCCGCGCCGGGAGCAACGCCGUCAACAAAGUGUCGCGCGUUGUUUUAAUAAUUAGCACGCGAUCGUAAUUGAUAUCGCGAGUGUUGUGUUGUGCAUUAACGAGAGAAUUGGAGAGGAGGCGGAGACUUGGAAGGAGCAUCAGGCAACGGCGGAACAACCCUGUGGAUUAAUGCAGUUUCAACUCCGCUGUUGCGCAUCAGUGUCGGUAAGUCUGAUACUAUUUCAUAUUUUAAUUUAGCACCUUAAUGCUCAACAAUCGUAAUUUAUUUGCAUUUGUGCAAAAUUGAAAUGUACAAUUAAGAAAUUGAUUUUCGAUGGUGGGAGGGGAUUCAAUAGAGGUUUUAAUAGAGGUAGAACAAUGACAAUCACAAGUUGAUAUUAUAUAACAUCGUUUUAUUAGAUUUAAAUUGAAAUUGAUUAUAAAUUAUGGUGAUGAAUUCGAAUACUAGGACUAGGACAGAUGGUUUUCGCUGCUUUGCUCAGUAUACUCAAUUUUAUAUUGUAUAUUAUGGUUGUCGAAGAAUGAACGCCGUUGCUGAAAUUUAUUUCCCGCUUUCUGCCUCUCUCUCUCUCUCUCUCUCUCUCUUUCUCUCAACACAUACGCGCGCACACACAUACGCACACGCAUAUUUCACACAUUUCACGCACAUUUCUCUCUCCGUCCUUCUCUCGGUCUCGAUUCAAUAGAAACAAUAUUAAUCGUUUGUAUUAAGCAUUUUACGCGCGUAAUAUAGAACUAACUUUUCCGGUCGCAAUCUCUUCCUUUUUUUUGUCUCGAUUCCGCACAAUCACGAGGGUCACGACCUCGGUGUACUCGAAAUCGUCGUGAACGUUCAACGCGCGUUCGGCAGUGCUACGCAAGGAAAUCUCGGCAUUUCGCGCCGGGUGAUCGUUUUAGAAUCGUCGCGAUUCGCGAAUUCCGGUGUUCUUUCAACGCAUCUGGAACUUCGAUCUCGUCUCCCCUCGGGUACAACCGAGUUCAUCCCAUUGUUUCCGCAUAAGCCCAGAAACAAUUCUCUUACAACGUUUCCUCUCGUCCCAUCUCUUUCGCGCCUAACAUUUGAUUUGAACAGUCGCUUCGAUAACGAUCGAUCGUACUCGCUUUAUACGUGCGCCGCGUCUCGUGUCAAGAAACAUAAACGUAAGAUUUACGAAACGCAAACGAGAGCGUCGAAAUGAAAACGGUGCUGUAGCCGAUGAUUCCGAGAAAAAAUGACAUCUUUUGCUUUACGAUGGUCUCUGCAGUGCUUUUAACUCCGUUUUCACUUCGAAGUGACAUACAAGACUUCCUCCGCCAAGCUUCCAUCGGCAUCGUGAUACCGUCACAACGUGUCGGUUCUCAAUUUGUUUAUGCAGAAAGUUCAACACGUGUACGCAUAAGCACAAGAGAACCUAGACGUAUAAUGCUUGAAUUAUCGCAUGAGCUCAAGAGAUGAACAAAAAAAAAUCGAAUUUCGGCCGUACGUUAUUAUAUUGUACCAUUCUGAGUCGUGUAUCAAGUGAGAAUUAAAUUUCUCUUUAGAGGGUAUACAUUCUCUCGCUUUUGUGCUUAGAAAAAAA